rnacentral:rRNA from 1 species
UACGUAGGAGGCGAGCGUUGUCCGGAGUUACUGGGCGUAAAGGGUGCGCAGGCGGCCACGUAAGUCGGAUGUGAAAGCCCCAGGCUCAACCUGGGAAGUGCACUCGAUAUUGCGUGGCUUGAGUAUCGGAGAGGUUGGUGGAAUUCUCGGUGUAGAGGUGAAAUUCGUAGAUAUCGAGAGGAACACCGGUGGCGAAGGCGGCCAACUGGACGAAUACUGACGCUGAGACACGAAAGCGUGGGGAGCAAACAGG